rnacentral:lncRNA from 1 species
ACAGUGUUGAUCAGUGAAUGAAAAGGAGCUGGAACCUGACUGGCGAUGCUUUACUCUGUGGAAGUUCCAUCCCAAGAAGGCAAUAAUUUUUUGCUGGUACUGCUGCUGGUGUAAGCUGGAAAACUAGCAGGUGUCUCUUAGAAGCUGGGGAAGGGAGAGGAUCCAACCUUUGUUGGACAGACUGUCGGCUUCAUGGGGACGGAAGUGCCGGAGGAGUAGAUGAAGACUAGUGAGCCGAGUUUAAGAACGCUCAAGAAGAAACCAAGACCAGAUCUCUUUAUGUCUUUAAUAUUUUCCAGCGGCGAUGGAAUCACAUGAAAAAGAAAUAGGUGUUACUAGUAAUUUUGUAUUAGUGGUGAUCAUAGAGUACUGAAGGAAAAAAAAUCCUGCACAAAAUAUUACUCUGUGAGUCAUGCAAAUUGGAUUUAUGUUGUAAGAGAGCAAAUAGUGCCCCAAAGAAUCUGUAAAUAGAAAAAAAAGAGUCUUGUUUUUGAAUUGACCAUUUCUAAAGCUGUUGUUUGACGCCCUAAUUCAUUCUCAGAGAUUGUUUUUGAGGCUUUCACAUAGUAGGCACUCAAUAAUUAUAUGUUGAAAGACUUCUGAUUGAAGACAGGAAUUGU